UCCGGACUGGCCCAGCCGCCCUCAGGGACCCUCCCAUCUUCCCCCAGUGAGUGGGGUACACAGCGUCUGGAGGUGAGUCACGUGCACAAGGUGGAGUGUGUGAUCCCGUGGCUCAAUGAUGCCCUCGUCUUCUUCACCGUCUCCCUGCAGCUGUGCCAGCAGCUCAAGGAUAAGAUCUCCGUGUUCUCCAGCUACUGGAGCUACAGGCCUUUCUGAGCAGAGCACCCAACAGCCUGUACCCCUGGGAAUGGCCCCUGCCUGAGGAUCCCCGUCCUCCCCCAACCCCCUCUCCCCGCCCAGAGUGCCAGCCAGCGCUGCACACUAUUUGUUUCCAGCGGGCUGUUUAUUUCUCUCUUCACCCUGUCCUGCCUGUCACAUCUGCACAGAUGGGAUUGAACACUGGGCCCACUGGGAGGGACACUACCUUGCUUUUUUGUUUUGGAUGGGGGAAGUCAGAAAGGCAGGGCCCCGUUCCAAGACCUGCCCUCCCUACAAGGCCAGAACCUUUGGACUCAGGGUGGGGCCAGGCCCAGAGCUCUCCUUCCUCCCCUCUUAGCUGCCUGCCAAGCUUCCCCAGGAUGGCGAGGGUGGUGGCUCUGAGCUGUGAGUUGGGAGGGAAGGAGGACAGGGGCCGCCCCCCGUGAGCUGUCGUGCCCUUGACCAUGUCUGCUCUAGCAGGGCCUCUGAGAAAUAAAGAUCAUCCGACAUUGCCUGGA